GACGAACGCUUUCUUCUUUCUUAACACAUGCAAGUCGAACGGAAAGGCCCUGCUUUUGUGGGGUGCUCGAGUGGCGAACGGGUGAGUAACACGUGAGUAACCUGCCCUUGACUUUGGGAUAACUUCAGGAAACUGGGGCUAAUACCGGAUAGGAGCUCCUGCUGCAUGGUGGGGGUUGGAAAGUUUCGGCGGUUGGGGAUGGACUCGCGGCUUAUCAGCUUGUUGGUGGGGUAGUGGCUUACCAAGGCUUUGACGGGUAGCCGGCCUGAGAGGGUGACCGGCCACAUUGGGACUGAGAGACGGCCCAGACUGCUACGGGAGGCAGCAGUGGGGAAUAUUGCACAAUGGGCGGAAGCCUGAUGCAGCGACGCCGCGUGCGGGAUGACGGCCUUCGGGUUGUAAACCGCUUUCGCCUGUGACGAAGCGGGAGUGACGGUAAUGGGUAAAGAAGCACCGGCUAACUACGUG
rnacentral:rRNA from 1 species